rnacentral:rRNA from 1 species
UACAGAGGGUGCGAGCGUUGUCCGGAAUCACUGGGCGUAAAGGGCGCGUAGGUGGUGGCUUAAGCGUGCGGUGAAAACUCGGGGCUCAACUCCGAGUCGGCCGUGCGAACUGGGCUCACUGGAGCAUAGUAGAGGCAGGUGGAAUUCCGGGUGUAGCGGUGGAAUGCGUAGAGAUCCGGAAGAACACCGGUGGCGAAGGCGGCCUGCUGGGCUAUGGCUGACACUGAGGCGCGACAGCGUGGGGAGCAAACAGG